rnacentral:rRNA from 1 species
AAGCCGUUCUCAGUUCGGAUCGGAGUCUGCAACCCGACUCCGUGAAGCUGGAUUCGCUAGUAAUCGCGCAUCAGCCAUGGCGCGGUGAAUACGUUCCCGGGCCUUGUACACACCGCCCGUCAAGCCAUGGAAGCCGGGGGCGCUUGAAGUGCGUUGCCGCAAGGCGCGCCCUAGAGCGAAACCGGUGACUGGGGCUAAGUCGUAACAAGGUAGC